rnacentral:tRNA from 1 species
GGGAGUGGCAGGGGCCCGGUGGCCCUCCCGGUCUUCAAAACCGUGGCGGGGCGGCGUGCCCGUCCCGGGUGGGUUCGACUCCCAUACACUCCCGCCA